CCAGGAAGGUUGCAAUAGAAUCAUACUUCUUCAGCAUCCAGUGGCGAUUUCUCUCCCUGAUCUCAGAGAUGUGGAAGCUGGUCAUUCUGAAGGAAAGAACCAAAAGAGUGGAUUAAAUAUUUGUUCCUGUAGAGCAGGAAAGGACAACUGGGAGUUAAUAUUUUACAUACCUGGCAACAUUGGUGGAGGUGUCCAAGAAGUUCUGCUUGGCACCUUUACAGUCUAGGCCGAUGGCAAUGAAGUCUCCCUUGUACUCGCGCAUCAUCAGUUUGAAGUCAUCAUAAGUUUGAGGCCGAAGGUGAGCUCAUAUGCCUCCCUGAAGAAGUGCUCCAGACGCUUUUGUCGUCGUUCCUUGGUCUCAGCAUUGGCCAACAUUUGCUCCUUGUAGGUGUGCACUUUCUCCACAACCUUGCGGUGGGAGUUCAUGAACUGCUCCACCUUGUUGAUGAACUUGCGCCGAGCAGCAUCUGUGUCAAACUCCAGCACCAGGUCGUGAUCCUUUGGUGGUCGCAACAACACCAUGGGUUUCCUUCGAGCAUCUUGAGUAAUUUCCACCACAAGAGUGUCUACAUCACCGACAUACAGUGUUCGCAGUUUUUCUCCUUUGCGAUUCACAGUGGAAAUCUCUUGUUUUGGGCCAAACUUGACUUUCACAAUCCGCUUGUGAUUCUGGAUGAGGAGGAGAACUAAUUAUUAAAGGAAAGAAAAGGAAUUAAACAUGUGCUUUAUUAUGUGGUAUUAAAAGCUACCAAUUUUGAGAGUAACCAAUGAGCUCAAAGUAAUCCUGGAAAAAAGAUAUCCACUUGAUAGCAUAUAUAUAAUAGUACAAGAAACAGGAGCAGAUAUGAUGUAUAUAUUCAAGUAUACUGUAAGACCUCAAUUUAAGCAGUUUUUGAUGUGCAACCAAACCUCUUGUGUGUGAUAAGUUUCUGCUUGUCACAUGUUAUAUUUUUCUCCAUGACUGCAGAGUUUCCCUCCCUGGCCCCUGCUGCUGCACUAUCAUGCCAGCAUAAUACAGUUGUGGCACAGCGCUGUUUAGCUCACCUGGUGCAGCCACUCUUUGACCAUCAUCUUGUCAACACUGCGGCCAUUAUUGUUCUCCUCCUGUUUGGUCUUGAAGUGACGGCGACGUGAGUUUUGGAACUUAACUGUGGCGUACCCAGCACCAGCACACACCAGUGGCACAGCAGCCAGCAGGAUGCAGGAAUAGAUGUAGGUCACCUCAGAUCCCUGCAAUAAGCCACAGCAUAUGAUGGUUUUACUUCUGUGAAGUACAUGUGAUAUUUUCUUUUUCUUUUAAUGUAAGAGGAGCACUGGCUAAGGAUAACAAAAAGAGUGAAAAAGGCCCACUGAGAAUGUGUCCUAAAUGAAAGGUCAAAAGAAUCACUCAAAAUCAGAGGAUAAGGGUCUUGGUCAAUAGUCUACAGAAGUAAGUCCUAAGGUUUGAAUCUCGUGGCAUUCAGUAUUCAUUAUGAAUUGUAACAACUGAAUAACUCUGACUUUAAUUUAAGAAAACAGGUGUUAAUAAAAUUCUGCAAAUCCUGCAUGUGUGAUAAUAGAAGAUGGUGGUGUACAGAGACUUGGUAUGAAGGAAGGUACCUGGAAGUAAUCAUAGCCCUGGAGGUACUGGCAUUGGUCCAUGUCCUCAGCAGUAAGCUGCUUGGGCUGCCAACAAAGGUCUUGCUUGGUAUGGAAGAACACGUCUUGCUGGAUCUCAUUGGGAGCCACAGAUGAAGAAUUGACAAUGAUGUCCCACAGCUUGACGUUUCGAAUCUCCUCCACCUCCUCUUCUGUAAAUAUCCUGUCAGAAAGUGGAAAAGUACGCCUUGUCAAAAAGUAAGGAUUUUAUUAGGUGACUAAGAACAUUUAUUAGAAAUUCUAUGCAAUUAGAAAAAAAAUCAUCCUUUUGUUGUAUUAUACAUUUAAAUCGGUACUUAAUGCAGGUAGUUAAGUGAUGUAUACUAUUAAAACUCAACAUUGCAA